rnacentral:rRNA from 2 species
AGGGAUAACACUUGGAAACAGGUGCUAAUACCGUAUAACAACAAAAUCCGCAUGGAUUUUGUUUGAAAGGUGGCUUCGGCUAUCACUUCUGGAUGAUCCCGCGGCGUAUUAGUUAGUUGGUGAGGUAAAGGCCCACCAAGACGAUGAUACGUAGCCGACCUGAGAGGGUAAUCGGCCACAUUGGGACUGAGACACGGCCCAAACUCCUACGGGAGGCAGCAGUAGGGAAUCUUCCACAAUGGACGAAAGUCUGAUGGAGCAAUGCCGCGUGAGUGAAGAAGGGUUUCGGCUCGUAAAACUCUGUUGUUAAAGAAGAACACCUUUGAGAGUAACUGUUCAAGGGUUGACGGUAUUUAACCAGAAAGCCACGGCUAACUACGUGCCAGCAGCCGCGGUAAUACGUAGGUGGCAAGCGUUGUCCGGAUUUAUUGGGCGUAAAGCGAGCGCAGGCGGUUUUUUAAGUCUGAUGUGAAAGCCUUCGGCUUAACCGGAGAAGUGCAUCGGAAACUGGGAGACUUGAGUGCAGAAGAGGACAGUGGAACUCCAUGUGUAGCGGUGGAAUGCGUAGAUAUAUGGAAGAACACCAGUGGCGAAGGCGGCUGUCUAGUCUGUAACUGACGCUGAGGCUCGAAAGCAUGGGUAGCGAACAGGAUUAGAUACCCUGSUAGUCCAUGCCGUAAACGAUGAGUGCUAAGUGUUGGAGGGUUUCCGCCCUUCAGUGCUGCAGCUAACGCAUUAAGCACUCCGCCUGGGGAGUACGACCGCAAGGUUGAAACUCAAAGGAAUUGACGGGGGCCCGCACAAGCGGUGGAGCAUGUGGUUUAAUUCGAAGCUACGCGAAGAACCUUACCAGGUCUUGACAUCUUCUGCCAAUCUUAGAGAUAAGACGUUCCCUUCGGGGACAGAAUGACAGGUGGUGCAUGGUUGUCGUCAGCUCGUGUCGUGAGAUGUUGGGUUAAGUCCCGCAACGAGCGCAACCCUUAUUAUCAGUUGCCAGCAUUCAGUUGGGCACUCUGGUGAGACUGCCGGUGACAAACCGGAGGAAGGUGGGGAUGACGUCAAAUCAUCAUGCCCCUUAUGACCUGGGCUACACACGUGCUACAAUGGACGGUACAACGAGUCGCGAAGUCGU